AUGGCAAGGUGGAUCAAGAAAGGAGUGAAUAUCAGGAUCACCAAACAAUGCAACCUGCCACUUCCUUUGGGCAAGCAUUAUCGCUCAAAUGUGUGUGAUGUGGUUGACAUGGAUGCCAGCCAUGUUCUUCUUGGGAGACCUUGGCAAUUUGAUGUGGAUACUACACACAAGGGCAGGGUAAAUUCUUGCUCUUUCAUUUGGAACAAGAGAAAGAUCAUUAUCUUACCAAACAAAACCGAAGGUAAUACCUCUGAGGAGGGGAAAACUAUGUUAACUAUCUCCCAUACCUCUCAUGAGUUUAUGGAAGACUUGAAGGAGGCAGAUUUGUGUGUUGCACUUGUUGUAAAAGGAGAUGAGCACCUGACUGUUGAAAUUCCAGCAAAGUCUUCCUAA
rnacentral:rRNA from 1 species